AGAAACUUAGGAUAAUCCCCCUUAAACCGAAGGCCUUCAAAGCCUUAAAUAAGAGUUAAACCCUCUUAGUUUCUG
rnacentral:tRNA from 1 species